rnacentral:rRNA from 1 species
AACGAACGCUGGCGGCAGGCUUAACACAUGCAAGUCGAACGGGUGCAGCAAUGCAUCAGUGGCAGACGGGUGAGUAACACGUGGGAACCUUCCUAGGGGUACGGAACAACUCAGGGAAACUUGAGCUAAUACCGUAUACGUCCGUAAGGAGAAAGAUUCAUCGCCCCUAGACGGGCCCGCGUCGGAUUAGGUAGUUGGUGGGGUAACGGCCUACCAAGCCUACGAUCCGUAGCUGAUCUGAGAGGAUGAUCAGCCACACUGGGACUGAGACACGGCCCACGACUCCUACGGGAGGCAGCAGUGGGGAAGUCUUGGACAAUGGGCGCAAGCCUGAUCCAGCCAUGCCGCGUGAGUGAAGAAGGCCUUAGGGUUGUAAAGCUCUUUUGGCGGGACGAUGAUGACGGUACCCGCAGAAUAAGCCCCGGCUAACUUCGUGCCAGCCGCCGCAGUAAG